rnacentral:rRNA from 1 species
UACGUAGGGUGCGAGCGUUGUCCGGAAUUACUGGGCGUAAAGGGCUCGUAGGCGGCCAACUAAGUCAGACGUGAAAUCCCUCAGCUUAACUGGGGAACUGCGUCUGAUACUGGAUGGCUUGGAUUUGGGAGAGGGAUGCGGAAUUCCAGGUGUAGCGGUGAAAUGCGUAGAUAUCUGGAGGAACACCGGUGGCGAAGGCGGCAUCUUGGACCAACAUUGACGCUGAGGAGCGAAAGCCAGGGGAGCAAACGGG